rnacentral:rRNA from 1 species
ACUCCUACGGGAGGCAGCAGUGGGGAAUAUUGCGCAAUGGGCGAAAGCCUGACGCAGCGACGCCGCGUGAGGGACGAAGGUCUUCGGAUUGUAAACCUCUUUCAGCAGGGACGAAGCGAAAGUGACUGUACCUGCAGAAGAAGCACCGGCUAACUACGUGCCAGCAGCCGCGGUAAUAC